AAGAGAGAUGAUAAUUGUAACAAAGGCCUUGAGAGAUAGAGGGGUUGCGAUUUAAAGCAUAAGUAGGGAGGUUAAUUUUUGAUAGGUGCCGGAAUAUAGAACUCCAAUGAAAGGAAGGCAGAAUGUGUAAUGUGCAAAUAGGUUGGUAUAUUUGUGGUAGAAAGGGAAGGAUGUCACUACGUAAGUUUUUUUUUAAUUUUACCAAGAAUGAGAUAAAAGCCAAUAUGCAGGAUGGGAAGGACGUAUAGGUUGGAAGAGACAUAUGUAAGUAGUUGGAUAGUAGGAAAGUGAAUAUAUAUUUGAUGAAAUAUUUUAAAGGCAUCUUUACUAAAUAUUUUUGAGACAUCUUAUUGGAAGACCCGAAACUUUGAAUUCUGUGGUUUCCAAGGACUCUGGUAAGAGUCCUUUCCAUAAUGUAGAGAUUGAGAACUUCUCAAUGCCAUAAAUACUGUUUUCCUUAUUUUCAUCUAUUACAGAUUAAAAGGCAGAAACAUUUUGUAGCUAAUCUGUUAUAAUGCAAAGCCUAUCAAACUUAAAAUUAGCUUAAUCCUGAAAGAUGUAUAUUGCAUAAUCAACCUGUCACUUUUUUCAAACACGAUUUGGGAGGGUAUUGAGGUCCCAUGUAAAUUUUAAAAUAAAAGACAAACAGGAACUAAUCUUUUAGUAAAAAUUAUUUUGUUUUCAUAUAGGAAAACAAUGCCUUCUGUCAUUUACGGAAAACACAUGGGCAAUAUGGUUGGUUGUUCAUUGUGCCCCUCUAUCCUAUAGGAAGAAUGUGAUCUUUUAAUUGUGCUUGGUGCUUUGUUUCUGGAGAUAUAUAUAUAUAUAUUAUAUAUAUGUAUAUAUACCAUAUGUAUAUAUACAUAUGUAUGUGUGUAUGUGUGUAUAUAUAUCUCUCUAGGUUGUAUGUAAUUCAAUAUGUUGGAAUUUAAAGAUGCAUUAUUAUUUGGAUUUGAUGUGAAAUUAGAUUGUGAAUAAUGGAGAUUGCUCUCCAUUUUUUGCUGUUCUAGCAUAGCCAAAAAUAUAAAGAUAUAGAUGUACAUAUACAUAUGUAUUUGAUUAAACACUUUAAAUUUUAAAUGGCCGCAUCAAAUUUUAAAUGGUAGAUGAUAUCAACAAUUGCAGUGCACUCAAAAUGUUAUAAAAUCUUUGUAGCACAAAUCCUGAAGUAUAUGCAAACUAAAUAGCAUAUUUAUAUAAAAUACCUAGAUAACAUGUCUAGGUUGAGAUAUUUAAUCCCUCAUAGAGCUAUAUUUGACUAAUAAAAAACGACAGCUAAAAAUAAUUUCCCUCCCUAUAAGUACAAAUAUGAUUUUUAAAGCAUCAUUGUAACUUGUCAUGAAGCUAUUUAUUAUUAAUUAAGGAUUUAACUCUGUACCCAUCUGCUCUUACAAAAGGGGAAAAAGAUUUAUCUAUGAGAAUAGGGAAGUAUAGCACUGUUUUAUGUUUUUCUCUUUAGUAUUCUGUCACCAUUUAAAGCUUCAAUAUAUGCCUUCCACUCAGGUUCCUGACACAGCCUACAUUCUCUUUUCUGGUUAUAAUCACAAUAUGGUAGAGCUAUAAACAAGGUAAAAAGGUGUUAACAAUUGAACUGCAAUCCUACCUAUUAUCUACUUUACUAUAGCAGUGAAGUAGUCCAGACUUAUUUGAAGGUGGUACUAUUUUUAUCUUACAAAAAUCUACUAUAAUAUUAAUAACUUUCCAUGUAAAUUUUCAUGUGCUGGCAUGCUUACAAGUUAAUAGUGUUAUAGAAUGCUCAGCUCUCAAUAUGAGGGGUUGUUUGUGGUGAAUUGCAUAACAUAUGUCAUCUAUUUGCUGAAAGAAUAUGCUGUUUAGCAAACUACCUGCUGAGCAACAUAAUAAGAUUUUUGUACAAGGUACAAAUUACUAAUUAUUGUAUUUUAUUUUUCUAUGAUUUCCUAAGAGGCAUUAUCAGGGUCUUACAGAUGGAGUAAGCCUGUUUAUUAAAAUAUCUAUUGGCAAAUAAAAGUUACAGCUUUGGUGGUUGAA
ensembl:lncRNA novel transcript